UACAGAGACUGCAAGCGUUAUUCGGAUUCACUGGGCGUAAAGGGUGCGCAGGCGGCCGGGUGUGUCAGAUGUGAAAUCCCGAGGCUCAACCUCGGAACUGCGUCUGAAACUACUCGGCUAGAGUACUGGAGAGGGUAACGGAAUUCACGGUGUAGCAGUGAAAUGCGUAGAUAUCGUGAGGAACACCAGAGGCGAAGGCGGUUACCUGGACAGUUACUGACGCUCAGGAGCGAAAGCGUGGGGAGCGAACAGG
rnacentral:rRNA from 1 species